rnacentral:lncRNA from 1 species
AAAGAAAGAAGUUCUUCGCAGAGCUGAAGUAUUACUUUUGGGAGGAUCCCAUUUUCUACAGAAGAGGCGCAGAUUAGAUAAUCAGAAGAUGUAUUCCUGAAGAUGAAGUACCUGAGAUUCUAGAACAUUGUCACUCUUCUGCAUAUGCUGGGCAUUUUGGAGCUUCAAAGACUGUUGCAAAGAUACUACAGUCAGGUUUCUAUUGGCCUACUUUAUUCAGAGACACAUUCGAGUAUGUUAAGAGAUGCGAUAAAUGUCAACGAACCGGAAAUAUCUCAAGAAGAAAUGAGAUGCCACUAAAUUACAUCUUGAAAGUUGAAAUAUUUGAUAUAUGGGGAAUAGACUUCAUGGGACCUUUUCCCCCAUCGUACUCAAAUCAGUAUAUCUUGGUAGCCGUUGACUAUGUCUCUAAGUGGGUGGAAGCUAUUGCAUUGCCUACUAACGACGUGAAAGUGGUGAUAGAGUUCUUGAAGAAGUACAUAUUUAUAAGAUAUGGCACACCGAGGGCAAUAAUAAGUGAUGGGGGCAAACACUUCAUAAAUCGUCAAUUACAGCAGUUGUUGAACAAAUAUGGGGUAAAACAUAAAGUAGCAACUCCAUAUCAUCCACAAACCAAUGGGCAAGUUGAAGUUUCGAACAGGCAGUUAAAAAGAAUACUAGAAGUUACAGUGAACUCAUCCCGAAAAGAUUGGUCUAAGAAGUUGAACGAUGCACUGUGGGCUUACAGAACAGCGUUUAAGACACCAAUAGGAAUGUCUCCAUAUCGUCUGGUUUUUGGGAAAGCAUGUCAUCUACCAUUGGAGUUGGAGCACCGAGCAUAUUGGGCUAUGAAACAGUUGAAUAUGGAUCUCAAGUCUGCUGGUGAAAAAUGACAGCUGCAACUUAAUGAAUUGGAUGAGAUGAGAAUGGAAGCUUACGAGAACUCAAAGUUGAUCAAGGAGCGCACCAAGAGAUGGCAUGAUUUAAAAUUCAGAGGCGAGAGUUUGAAGUUGGUCAGAAAGUGUUAUUGUACAAUUCUAGACUCAAACUCUUCCCAGGAAAGCUAAGAACAAGGUGGUCGGGUCCCUAUACCAUAACUAAGGUGAUGCAAUAUGGGGCUAUUGAAGUGAGUCACGAGACCAAAGGCACUUUCAUCGUCAAUGGGCAAAGACUGAAACAUUAUUGGGGAUGUAAUUUCCCUAAGCAGAAGUCCACUGUGCAACUCAACAACCCAACGUGAAGAAGAUACAGGAAAGUCGAGCUAUCGACUAUAAACUAGCGCUAGGUGGGAGGCAACUCACUGUAUCCUUCAAUUUAUUUUACUGCAUUUGUUUAGGAAUUUGUUUACAUUUCGUAUUUUUUUUAGGUCUUCGAUCAUUCACACAUGAUAGUCUAGGCACUACACGUUUAUAGUUGCAUGAGUCGGGGUUAAAGAAAGUGUUUUGGGUGUUUGAGUGUGAAGUAAUGAAUUUCGUGGUUCAACGUCAUUCGUUUUAUUUUUCGAGAUUUAAAAAAAAUUCGAAAUAUGUAGAGUUGAGUCAAUUUUGAAUUUGAAAACCAACGUAGGGAGAUUUUUAAAAUUCAUGGUGUGUUUGGGGUUAAAAUUAUAAGUUUGUUUAAUAAAAAAAAAAUGGGUUUGGUCCAUGCGGCCGCAUGGACAAGGGGUCCAUGCGGCCGAACACAAAAUGGGUAAGACCAAGUACACCAUGCGGUCGCAUGGUGUAACACCAUGCGGCCACAUGGUGUCUAGGUGACGGGUUUUAAACCCGUCACUUGUAAAUCACCCCCAAACCCUCCCCAAAACACCUCCACACGAACACACUCUUCUUUCCCCCCCACCCCACCCCACCCCACCCCAACUCCACCUUCACACAAAACAUCAAUCACCAGCGCUCUUGCACAUCUUCACCCUAACCCCACAUUAUUCCCAACAUUGGUAUAUAUUAUCAAGAAUUUUGGAGCAAAGCUUUUACCUUUCUUUCACAAAGAUCUCAAGGUAAGAAAUUGAAUUUCUAUGCAAAGCUUAAAGUUCUUCUUUGAUUUCAUGACAUUUUCGAAUUGGGUAAGUGGUGAAUUGUGAUUAAAUUGUGAUUUGUGGACUAGCCCUAAGUGUAAAUAAAAAACAAAGUGAAGGAAAUUUCCAAUGUACACAACGUGUUCGAUUAAAUGUCAAUGAGACAUAUGAUUCUAAAUUUUGAACUUUUCAUUUGUGUAAUGAUUUACAUUGUUAAUGUGAGGCGUACUAGUCGAGAAAUCUCAUGGAAUGUCAUUGGAAAACGUUAGCCUCACAUAUAUGUGCACAUAACCACAUAAAUUGCUAAGCCAUGUCAACUCACGUCACUAACUUCGUCCAUGUAUUUUCCUAACCAAACGACCUCUGAUUGUAGUAAAAUUUGGAUAUAUGCUAGACCACAAUGAGUACUUUCAUAUGCCCGGAUCUUGUCUUGGGAAAUUGUAAUAUUUCUCAAUGAUGCUCGGGGCUAAAGUUGGUCACUUAAUCAUGGGUCGAAUUUUCAAAAAGUGCAUGUUAGAGCCAUAGUUUUGAGUUUUUCUCAUUAAUGCAAUAUUGAUGUUACAUUGACUUCCAUGCGUUGAAUAUUGCACAUAUUUUGAAGAAAGUUUGGGGGAUUCUUGCAUGUCAAUGAUAUUCUUUAUCGUUUUCCUAUUUCAAGAACUUGAUACACUUUGUUCCUUAUUUUUGUAGGAUGCCGCCGAAGAGAACAUCAAAAGGUAAAGAAAAAGUUGAUUCCUCCUCCGGCACAGCCCACACCAGAGAGCUAAUAGGAGGUGUGCGAAGAUUUCGUGAUGCCGAAACAUUAGCUCGAUAUGAAAACAUAAUACGCCAUUGGGGCGUGAUACCAGAGAGAUAGGUCCGGUUAGAUGAUUUCCAUGGUUUUGAGUUGACAAAUCUGAUACAAAUUUGUGGAUGGGAGAAGAUUGUAGAAAAGCCACACCCGAUUUAUGAAAGUAUAGUCCGCGAAUUUUAUGCAAACUUCAAUAGUGAAAUUGAGACUCCGGGUUCUGAACACUUACACCAGACAUGGUGCGAGGUAAGUGGAUAAUGUUCUCCCCAACAGUCAUUCAUGACUUCUACAAUCUUAAUUUGGACAAUGUGGUCCCGAUUCUCACUCAAUUCAAUUGGAAUGAAGUGGCUGAAGUUCUCUUGGGAAGAGAGAAUGCUUGGCCCCUACCCACUGUAGAGUGGCAUCAAAUUGAGCUUACUCCCUCCAUAGCCAUCCUUUGGGUCUUCAUGUGCCAUAAUAUCGAACCCACAUCGCAUCGGACAACUUUCACGGAUCAAGCUGCUGGGUUCAUAUAUCAUUUAGUCUGGGGAUGCAAAGUUGAUUUAGCUACUCUUAUUUUUGACCAGAUACAAAAUUUGGGAACCUGGGGAGAUAGGCGGUCUUCGAUGAUUUUCCCUAGUCUGAUUAGGCGGAUAUGUCUUGCCGCCGGUGUUACAGUUGAGGCAGAAGAGAUGCCUGAGAAAUCAAGUCCAUUGAUAAAGCUCACUACAUUUGAAGCUCAGGAACGAGUUAGGGUAAGGAAGAGAGAACAAGACAGACUUGAGCAGCAAAAACAAAAUGCGCAGGAAGAAGGACAAGUUGCUGAAGAUUUACACUUACCACAAGCCCCGCCACAACCAGUUGAGAUGGAUUCACAGCUACUUCGACAGAUAUUUGCCACAGCCACUGGAACUAGCAGGGAUAUAUAAAAUCUCCAGCAGAGGUUCGAGACGAUGACCACCACUGUUGAAAAAGUGCAGGAGACCUCUACUCCUCCCGAGACUACACAAAAGGUGCUUUGAAUGAAGCCACAGCUGCAAGAAGGGAAGUAGAGACUAUGAAUGGUAGGUUCCACAUGUACGCUGGGAGAAUGGAUGGCAUACAGUGGCAUGUGAACGAAACUUCGGAUCGCUUGGGAAAUAUGGAAAGUAGUCUUCAAGCCAUUCAGGGCGAGCAAGCACAGCAGUCCGAGUCAAUGAGACAAGUCCUAUCUCGCCUCCCACCUCCUCCUGAAGAUGAUGCUGCGGGUCCCAGCUUCACACCACAGCCACCGAAUUGAUCAGGGGAGUUUUGUUAAUCUCUUAUUGCCAAGUUGUGUCCAUGUUUUAAAUUCUGCCAUUUUAACUUCACAUUUUACAUUGAGGACAAUGUAUUGUAUAAGUUUGGGGGAUGGUAGCAUAAUUUCAAACAAAUAUUCGGCAUGUAAUUAUUUUGCAUAUUCACAAUCCAUCGUUAAUUUUGACAAGUUUUUGCAUGAUGCAUGCUUGAUGAGUGAAUCUUUAUGAACGUUUGCAUGCUUGUGUGGGUUUGGUAGCCUUGUCGGCUAUGAUGUGAUUAUUGGACAUGUAUAAGCUAGAAACUGUGGAUUUAGUGCAGGAUUUAAUUUGCUAAUACUUGUUGAUGCAUUGCUUGACACUCU